UCUCUCUCUCUCUCUCUCUCUCUCUCUCUCUCUCUGCUUGGCCAUUGCAAUGACGUAGCACAGUGCUAAGAAAGACAAUGCCAGACCUCAAGGAGCUUCCAUACUAAAGAGAAAAGAUAACACAUAAAGGGAAGCUAAUGGGGCACACCAGGAGGCAUGGUGGAGAAAGAAGUCCAGAGAUUCAGGAGUAGAACUUGGAGAGGAAUGAGAAUGAAAAAGAACCUGGUUUCCCUUCCUGCCUCUGACACCUAUGGCUUCACCUCUCCAGGUCCUGGGCACCUCUCUUAAGUAACUUUAAGUUACAGAUGAGUAAUGGAGGGUCUUUCCAGCUACAGAUGAGUUACUAAUCUCAUCAAUGGAAGGUUUUUUCUAGUUACAGAUGAGUUCCUAAUCUGCAUCAAUGGAAGAUCUUUCCAGCUACAGAUGAGUUACUAAUCUACAUCAGUGGAGCAUCUUUCUACAUGGAGAGUUUCCUACACUGAUCUAGACUGAAAGGAGAAAACAAUUAUGGCAAGUGUGUUAUGUGCUAAGGAAAACCAAAACAGUCCCUGCCUUAUCAGCCUCGGAGUUCAUGCUGAAGUUAUCAAUCUUUUGUCCCAGGGAAAAUGAAAAAUAAAUUAUCUCUCCAAUUA